UGCUGUCUCCCAUCACAUUCGACACCGGAUGGCUUGCAUUCCUCACUGCAGCCCACGUCUGUCCUCAGUACCAAAUUCAGAAGUCAGGCGUGAUCUCGUUCUUGGUUUUGACAAGUGUGAUAAAUACCUCUUAGUGGGCUUUCCCAAACCCAGGAGCAGGAAGAAGAAACCUGGACUGUCCCCAGGCUAGGUUUCCAUUUAAUCUUCAGUGGCAGCACAUGAUUCCUGCACAUAAGAAGCCAGCAGAAAAUUCUCUCUAAGGACGUUACGCACUCCCAAAGUGGGGACGAGCUACUCAGAUGAACAGAUCUGCCUUUUUGGAAGUCAGCCAUCCUGAACAGUGUUUCCUGUCAUUUGGAUGUUCUGGCUCUAAUCUGCCGAAGGUUGGAAGAAACCAGAAUUACUACGACUGUUGGUUUUGUUGUGACCAUGUCAUCCACUCUUUUGAUCUACCCCGACUUAGCACUGGUAGGUGGGUGUGUAGCUGUCAGCUGGGCUGCAAGUAAAGACAGUGUCUUCUUCACUUGCCUUGAGUGUCCAGCCCUGGUGAUCCCAGCAUGCAGAAGGUCCGCUAACUAUAAGACACUAUC